UGCGUAGGCGGAAUAAUAAGUCAGUGGUGAAAGCCUGCGGCUCAACCGUAGAAUUGCCAUUGAUACUGUUAUUCUUGAGUAUAGUUGAGGUGGGCGGAAUGUGUAAUGUAGCGGUGAAAUGCAUAGAUAUUACACAGAACACCAAUUGCGAAGGCAGCUCACUAAACUAUCACUGACGCUGAGGCACGAAAGCGUGGGGAGCAAACAGGAUUAGAUACCCUGGUAGUC
rnacentral:rRNA from 1 species